rnacentral:rRNA from 1 species
GACGAACGCUGGCGGCGUGCUUAACACAUGCAAGUCGGGCGGUAAGGCCCUUUCGGGGGUACACGAGCGGCGAACGGGUGAGUAACACGUGGGUGACCUGCCCUCAGCUCCGGGAUAAGCCUGGGAAACUGGGUCUAAUACUGGAUAUGACUCCACGGUGCAUGUCGUGGGGUGGAAAGCCUUGUGCGGCUGAGGAUGGGCCCGCGGCCUAUCAGCUUGUUGGUGGGGUGAUGGCCUACCAAGGCGACGACGGGUAGCCGGCCUGAGAGGGCGACCGGCCACACUGGGACUGAGACACGGCCCAGACUCCUACGGGAGGCAGCAGUGGGGAAUCUUGCGCAAUGGGCGAAAGCCUGACGCAGCGACGCCGCGUGAGGGAUGACGGCCUGGUGUAAC